rnacentral:rRNA from 1 species
UACGUAGGGACCGAGCGUUGUCCGGAAUCAUUGGGCGUAAAGAGCGUGUAGGCGGCUUGCUAAGUCUUGCGUGAAAUCUCGGGGCUCAACCCCGAGCGGUCGUGGGAAACUGGCAGGCUAGAGUGCGGGAGAGGAGAAUGGAAUUCCUGGUGUAGCGGUGAGAUGCGCAGAUGUCAGGAAGAACACCCGUGGCGAAGGCGGUUCUCUGGAACGCAACUGACGCUGAGACGCGAAAGCGUGGGGAGCAAACAGG